rnacentral:rRNA from 1 species
AAUACAGAGGUGGCGAGCGUUGUUCGGAAUUACUGGGCGUAAAGGGCGCGUAGGCGGUCUUGUAAGUCUUGUGUGAAAUCCCUCGGCUUAACUGAGGAACUGCACGAGAUACUGCGAGACUUGAGUUCGGGAGAGGGAAGCGGAAUUCCGGGUGUAGCGGUGAAAUGCGUAGAUAUCCGGAGGAACACCGGUGGCGAAGGCGGCUUCCUGGACCGACACUGACGCUGAGGCGCGAAAGCUAGGGGAGCAAACGGGA